rnacentral:rRNA from 1 species
GAUGAACGCUGGCGGCGUGCCUAAUACAUGCAAGUCGAGCGAACAGACGAGGAGCUUGCUCCUCUGACGUUAGCGGCGGAAGGGUGAGUAACACGUGGAUAACCUACCUAUAAGACUGGGAUAACUUCGGGAAACCGGAGCUAAUACCGGAUAAUAUAUUGAACCGCAUGGUUCAAUAGUGAAAGACGGUUUUGCUGUCACUUAUAGAUGGAUCCGCGCCGCAUUAGCUAGUUGGUAAGGUAACGGCUUACCAAGGCAACGAUGCGUAGCCGACCUGAGAGGGUGAUCGGCCACACUGGAACUGAGACACGGUCCAGACUCCUACGGGAGGCAGCAGUAGGGAACCUUCCGCAAUGGGCGAAAGCCUGACGGAGCAACGCCGCGUGAGUGAUGAAGGUCUUCGGAUCGUAAAACUCUGUUAUUAGGGAAGAACAAAUGUGUAAGUAACUAUGCACGUCUUGACGGUACCUAAUCAGAAAGCCACGGCUAACUACGUG